rnacentral:rRNA from 1 species
AAUCCAUAGGUUAAUGAGGCGAACCGGGGGAACUGAAACAUCUAAGUACCCCGAGGAAAAGAAAUCAACCGAGAUUCCCCCAGUAGCGGCGAGCGAACGGGGAGGAGCCCAGAGCCUGAAUCAGCAUGUGUGUUAGUGGAAGCGUCUGGAAAGGCGCGCGAUACAGGGUGACAGCCCCGUACACAAAAGCGCAUGUGCUGUGAGCUCGAUGAGUAGGGCGGGACACGUGGUAUCCUGUCUGAAUAUGGGGGGACCAUCCUCCAAGGCUAAAUACUCCUGACUGACCGAUAGUGAACCAGUACCGUGAGGGAAAGGCGAAAAGAACCCCGGCGAGGGGAGUGAAAAAGAACCUGAAACCGUGUACGUACAAGCAGUGGGAGCACAGGUUUACCUGUGUGACUGCGUACCUUUUGUAUAAUGGGUCAGCGACUUAUAUUCUGUAGCAAGGUUAACCGAAUAGGGGAGCCGGAGGGAAACCGAGUCUUAAUUGGGCGUUAAGUUGCAGGGUAUAGACCCGAAACCCGGUGAUCUAGCCAUGGGCAGGUUGAAGGUUGGGUAACACUAACUGGAGGACCGAACCGACUAAUGUUGAAAAAUUAGCGGAUGACCUGUGGCUGGGGGUGAAAGGCCAAUCAAACCGGGAGAUAGCUGGUUCUCCCCGAAAGCUAUUUAGGUAGCGCCUCGUGAAUUCAUCUCCGGGGGUAGAGCACUGUUUCGGCUAGGGGGCCAUCCCGGCUUACCAACCCGAUGCAAACUGCGAAUACCGGAGAAUGUUAUCACGGGAGACACACGGCGGGUGCUAACGUCCGUCGUGAAGAGGGAAACAACCCAGACCGCCAGCUAAGGUCCCAAAGUCAUGGUUAAGUGGGAAACGAUGUGGGAAGGCCCAGACAGCCAGGAUGUUGGCUUAGAAGCAGCCAUCAUUUAAAGAAAGCGUAAUAGCUCACUGGUCGAGUCGGCCUGCGCGGAAGAUGUAACGGGGCUAAACCAUGCACCGAAGCUGCGGCAGCGAACGUAUCACUUAAAGCGAUUCAGCGGGUUACGAUUGACGGAGCGAAGCGACGUCAAAGCGUAUACAAAGUCGAGUCGGUUUAAGGAUACGUUCGUUGGGUAGGGGAGCGUUCUGUAAGCCUGCGAAGGUGGCCUGUGAGGGUUGCUGGAGGUAUCAGAAGUGCGAAUGCUGACAUAAGUAACGAUAAAGCGGGUGAAAAGCCCGCUCGCCGGAAGACCAAGGGUUCCUGUCCAACGUUAAUCGGGGCAGGGUGAGUCGACCCCUAAGGCGAGGCCGAAAGGCGUAGUCGAUGGGAAACGGGUUAAUAUUCCCGUACUUGGUGUUACUGCGAAGGGGGGACGGAGAAGGCUAUGUUGGCCGGGCGACGGUUGUCCCGGUUUAAGCGUGUAGGUGUGUGUUCCAGGUAAAUCCGGUUCACUUUAACACUGAGGCGUGACGACGAGGCACUACGGUGCUGAAGCAACAAAUGCCCUGCUUCCAGGAAAAGCCUCUAAGCAUCAGGUAACAUCAAAUCGUACCCCAAACCGACACAGGUGGUCAGGUAGAGAAUACCAAGGCGCUUGAGAGAACUCGGGUGAAGGAACUAGGCAAAAUGGUGCCGUAACUUCGGGAGAAGGCACGCUGACACGUAGGUGAAGUGAUUUACUCAUGGAGCUGAAGUCAGUCGAAGAUACCAGCUGGCUGCAACUGUUUAUUAAAAACACAGCACUGUGCAAACACGAAAGUGGACGUAUACGGUGUGACGCCUGCCCGGUGCCGGAAGGUUAAUUGAUGGGGUCAGCGCAAGCGAAGCUCCUGAUCGAAGCCCCGGUAAACGGCGGCCGUAACUAUAACGGUCCUAAGGUAGCGAAAUUCCUUGUCGGGUAAGUUCCGACCUGCACGAAUGGCGUAAUGAUGGCCAGGCUGUCUCCACCCGAGACUCAGUGAAAUUGAACUCGCUGUGAAGAUGCAGUGUACCCGCGGCAAGACGGAAAGACCCCGUGAACCUUUACUAUAGCUUGACACUGAACAUUGAGCCUUGAUGUGUAG